rnacentral:rRNA from 1 species
AUACAGAGGGUGCGAGCGUUAAUCGGAAUUACUGGGCGUAAAGCGCGCGUAGGCGGCUACUUAAGUCAGAUGUGAAAUCCCCGGGCUCAACCUGGGAACUGCAUCUGAUACUGGGUAGCUAGAGUUUUGGAGAGGGAAGUAGAAUUUCAGGUGUAGCGGUGAAAUGCAUAGAGAUCUGAAGGAAUACCAGUGGCGAAGGCGACUUCCUGGCCAAAAACUGACGCUGAGGUGCGAAAGCGUGGGUAGCAAACGGGAUUAGAAACCCCGGUAGUCC